rnacentral:rRNA from 1 species
GUGAGGAAUAUUGGUCAAUGGGCGAGAGCCUGAACCAGCCAUGCCGCGUGCAGGAAGACGGCCCUAUGGGUUGUAAACUGCUUUUGUUUGGGAAUAAAAGGCGCUACGUGUAGUGCACUGAAGGUACCAGAUGAAUAAGCAUCGGCUAACUCCGUGCCAGCAGCCGCGGUAAUACGGAGGAUGCGAGCGUUAUCCGGAUUUAUUAGGUUUAAAGGGUGUGUAGGCGGAAGACUAAGUCAGUGGUGAAAUCCCUCAGCUUAACUGGGGAACUGCCAUAGAUACUGGUUUUCUUGAGUACAGUUGAAGUAGGCGGAAUGUGUAAUGUAGCGGUGAAAUGCUUAGAUAUUACACAGAACACCGAUUGCGAAGGCAGCUUGCUAAGCUGUUACUGACGCUGAUGCACGAAAGCGUGGGGAGCGAACAGGAUUAGAAACCCUGGUAGUCC